rnacentral:rRNA from 1 species
UACGAAGGGUGCAAACGUUGCUCGGAAUUAUUGGGCGUAAAGCGCACGUAGGCGGCUUAGCAAGUCCCAUGUGAAAGCCCACGGCUUAACCGUGGAAGUGCAUGGGAAACUGCUGAGCUUGAGUACUUAAGAGGAUCGCGGAAUUCCCGGUGUAGAGGUGAAAUUCGUAGAUAUCGGGAGGAACACCAGUGGCGAAGGCGGCAC